GACGAACGCUGGCGGCGUGCUUAACACAUGCCAGUCGAACGGAAAGGCCCCUUUGGGGGUACUCGAGUGGCGAACGGGUGAGUAACACGUGAGUACCCUGCCCUUGACUUCGGGAUAACUUCAGGAAACUGGGGCUAAUACCGGAUAGGAAUCCUUGCUGCAUGGUGGGGGUUGGAAAGCUUCGGCGGUUUUGGAUGGACUCGCGGCUUAUCAGCUUGUUGGUGGGGUAGUGGCUUACCAAGGCUUUGACGGGUAGCCGGCCUGAGAGGGCGACCGGCCACAUUGGGACUGAGAAACGGCCCAGACUCCUACGGGGGGCAGCAGUGGGGAAUAUUGCACAAUGGGCGGAAGCCUGAUGCAGCAACGCCGCGGGCGGGAUGACGGGCUUCGGGUUGUAAACCGCUUUCAGCAGGGGCGAAGCUUGUGGUGACGGUACCUGCAGAAGAAGCACCGGCUAACUACGUG
rnacentral:rRNA from 1 species